rnacentral:rRNA from 1 species
GUCGAACGUGAAGCCUAGUACCUAGUAUUGGGUGGAAAGUGGCGAACGGGUGAGUAACACGUUGGUGACCUGUCCCGAGGAGGGGGAUAACCGUGGGAAACCAUGGCUAAUACCCCGGAUGUCUAGGUUGUUAGAGAGCCUAGGCCAAAGCUCCGGCGCCUUGGGAGGGGCCUGCGGGCUAUCAGCUUGUUGGUGGGGUAACGGCCUACCAAGGCUAAGACGGCUAGGGGGCGUGAGAGCGCGACCCCCCACAAUGGAACUGAGACACGGUCCAUACUCCUACGGGAGGCAGCAGUGAGGAAUAUUGCGCAAUGGGGGCAACCCUGACGCAGCAACGCCGCGUGGACGAUGAAGGCCUUCGGGUUGUAAAGUCCUUUUUUGGGGGAUGAUAAUGACGGUACCCCAAGAAUAAGUCCCGGCUAACUACGUGCCAGCAGCCGCGGUAAAACGUAGGGGGCGAGCGUUAUCCGGAUUUACUGGGCGUAAAGCGCACGUAGGCGGCGCUGUAAGUUGGACGUGAAAGCUCUCGGCUUAACUGGGAGAGGUCGUUCAAUACUGCGGUGCUCGAGGUUGGGAGAGGAGAGUGGAAUUCCCGGUGUAGUGGUGGAAUGCGUAGAUAUCGGGAGGAACACCAGUGGCGAAGGCGACUCUCUGGUCCACACCUGACGCUGAGGUGCGAAAGCGUGGGGAGCGAACGGGAUUAGAUACCCCGGUAGUCCACGCCGUAAACGAUGGAUACUAGG